rnacentral:rRNA from 1 species
AACGAACGCUGGCGGCAGGCCUAACACAUGCAAGUCGAGCGAAGCCUUCGGGCUUAGCGGCGGACGGGUGAGUAACGCGUGGGAACGUGCCCUUUGCUACGGAAUAGCCCCGGGAAACUGGGAGUAAUACCGUAUGUGCCCUUCGGGGGAAAGAUUUAUCGGCAAAGGAUCGGCCCGCGUUGGAUUAGGUAGUUGGUGGGGUAAUGGCCUACCAAGCCGACGAUCCAUAGCUGGUUUGAGAGGAUGAUCAGCCACACUGGGACUGGGACACGGCCCAGACUCCUACGGGAGGCAGCAGUGGGGAAUCUUAGACAAUGGGGGAAACCCUGAUCUAGCCAUGCCGCGUGGUCGAUGAAGGCCUUAGGGUUGUAAAGAUCUUUCAGUGGGGAAGAUAAUGACUGUACCCACAGAAGAAGCCCCGGCUAACUCCGUGCCAGCAGCCGCCGUAACAC